GUCUCGAUGGUCUAAUGGUUAUGACGCGCGUCUCACAUUCAAACUUGUGUUUGUUGUGCCCACUCGAGGCUCCCGGUUCGAUCCCGGGUCGAGACA